AAAUCGUACCCCAAACCGACACAGGUGGUCAGGUAGAGAAUACCAAGGCGCUUGAGAGAACUCGGGUGAAGGAACUAGGCAAAAUGGUGCCGUAACUUCGGGAGAAGGCACGCUGGUGUGUAGGUGAAGUCCCUGCGGAUGGAGCUGAGACCAGUCGAAGAUACCAGCUGGCUGCAACUGUUUAUUAAAAACACAGCACUGUGCAAACACGAAAGUGGACGUAUACGGUGUGACGCCUGCCCGGUGCCGGAAGG
rnacentral:rRNA from 1 species